UGCCACUUGGUGUAAUGGUCAGCACAUCAGAUUUUGGUUCUGAGUGUAAGGGUUCAAGUCCUUUAGUGGCAA
rnacentral:tRNA from 1 species